CAGCAGCCGCGGGAACACAGAGGGUGCGAGCGUUAAUCGGAUUUACUGGGCGUAAAGCGUGCGUAGGCGGCUUUUUAAGUCGGAUGUGAAAUCCCUGAGCUUAACUUAGGAAUUGCAUUCGAUACUGGGAAGCUAGAGUAUGGGAGAGGAUGGUAGAAUUCCAGGUGUAGCGGUGAAAUGCGUAGAGAUCUGGAGGAAUACCGAUGGCGAAGGCAGCCAUCUGGCCUAAUACUGACGCUGAGGUACGAAAGCAUGGGGAGCAAACAGGAUUAGAGACCCCAGUAGUCCCUGUCUCUUAUAC
rnacentral:rRNA from 1 species